ACGGGUAGAUAAGUCAUGAGAAACAACGGGGUGGCUUGAACCGGUAACAUGGAAGAAGAAAAGAACUCAAAAGUCGUUCACCAAUAAUCCGAUUCGGAUGGUAGAAAGGCGAAAGUGAUCAAGUCUUGGAAGCGGGUCAACUAUGGAAAGAUUUAGUGAUGAUUUGUUCACUAAGUAUAUGGGUUUUCUUAUCGGGUCAAAUUGACCUAGUUAUUAACAUUUUGGAGUUUAACUUCAAUGUUUGUUCUCGCUAAGCGCUAGUAUGUCAAUGUACUAGUUGGUUAUGUUUGUUUUAUAAAAACUUCGGUUAUUAA